ACAAGCGGAGGAGCAUGUGGUUUAAUUCGAUGAUACGCGAGGAACCUUACCUGGGCUCGAACGUAAGAUGACUGUAGGUGAAAGCUUACAUCUCUUCGGAGCAUUUUUACGAGGUGCUGCAUGGUUGUCGUCAGCUCGUGCCGUGAGGUGUCGGGUUAAGUCCCAUAACGAGCGCAACCCUACCUUUAGUUGCCAUCAGGUAAUGCUGGGGACUCUAAAGGAACUGCCUACGCAAGUAGUGAGGAAGGCGGGGAUGACGUCAAAUCAGCACGGCCCUUACGUCCAGGGCUACACACGUGCUACAAUGGCCGAUACAGAGGGCAGCUACCUGGUGACAGGAUGCAAAUCUCCAAAGUCGGUCUCAGUUCGGAUCGGAGUCUGCAACCCGACUCCGUGAAGUUGGAUUCGCUAGUAAUCGCGCAUCAGCCAUGGCGCGGUGAAUACGUUCCCGGGCCUU
rnacentral:rRNA from 1 species